rnacentral:lncRNA from 10 species
CCUCCCAGCUUCAAGCAAUGCUCCCACCUUGGCCUCCCAAAGCGCUGGGAUUACAGGCAUGAGCCACCAUGCCUGGCCAUUGCCAUUGCACUUCAGCUGGUUCUCCUGAACCUUGAAUUAUCUUAGGAAAGAUUGUAUUUUCAGGAAUUAAGUCUAUUGGAGACACAGCAGGACUCCACAGCCAGCUAGAUUUGGAUAAAAUGUAGACUGCCUCAAGGCCAGUGUGUUGACUUCUGACCAGUCUCAUCUGAACCCACACCCUUUAACAUAUAUACAAAACACCUGAAGGGUUGGGCUGCCAGCUUUCUUUAGGAUGAUAGAGGGCAGGUUAAGUUUGUUUGACAUAACUAGAAGAGGUGGAGCCUCUUCCUAAUGGAGCAAGGUCCAUUUAUGGCAAACUGUGGUCCCCCACCACUAUCAGCUACUUCUGGAUAGCUUUUGCUUAAAGUUGAUGAGAUAUUGUUUCUUUCA